AAAAUUAAAAGGACGCGGUAACCUUGACCGUGAUAAUGUAGCAUAAUCAUUCGCCAUUUAAUUGAUGGAUAGUAUGAAUGGUUGAACGAAUAUUCCACUGUCUUAAGAAGAAAUAAUAAAAAAUUAGAAUAAUAGUAAAGAUUCUAUUUAAGAUUGUAAGACGAAAAGACCCUAUAGAGCUUAACUAUAAAUUUUCUAUAUAACUAAUUAUAGCAGAAAAUUUGGUAGUUUAGUUGGGGCGACUGUCUUUUAAAAAUAACAAAGACAAGCAAAUAUUAAUACUAAAAUUUAUUGUAUAACUAAUAAAUUUAACAAUUACAAAAGUAGGCUAUAAUGACCCGUUAUUAUUUAAUAAGAAAAAUAACGAUCAAUAAAUAAAAGCUACCUUAGGGAUAACAGGAUAAUUUUAUUCUAGAGAUCUAAUCGAAAAUAAAGUUUGUCACCUCUAUGUUGAAUUAAGA
rnacentral:rRNA from 1 species